GAUGAACGCUGGCGGCGUGCUUAACACAUGCAAGUCGAACGGGGUACCCUUGACAGAGACUUCGGUCAAUUGAUAGGAAUACCUAGUGGCGGACGGGUGAGUAACGCGUGAGGAACCUGCCUUGGAGUGGGGAAUAACAACUGGAAACAGUUGCUAAUACCGCAUAAUGCAACGCAGUCGCAUGGCUGUGUUGCCAAAGAUUUAUCGCUCUGAGAUGGCCUCGCGUCUGAUUAGAUAGUUGGCGGGGUAACGGCCCACCAAGUCGACGAUCAGUAGCCGGACUGAGAGGUUGGCCGGCCACAUUGGGACUGAGACACGGCCCAG
rnacentral:rRNA from 1 species